GACCUUUCUCAAAGAGCCUUUCCCAGGAUGCCUUGCAGGAAGGUGUAGCACCUGUGAGUAGCCAGCCUGGAGCUACCUGGAGGACCGGAUUUGGGUGUGAAUGGGUAAGGAUGCACUGUGGCUUGCUGGUCUGUUUCUUGGGGUUUUCAUAGACUCCCAGUAGCUAUGUAUUGGAAAGAUGAUUGGCCUUCACUCUAAAACAACAUGCUGGGAAACAUAUAUUGUCUACUCAGGGUCUCACAUGGUAUUGGGGAUGUUUAAUUCCCUUUGGCUUUGCCCAGAAAAUGGGAUUUUCCACUCAUUCCGAGGAAACUGGUGCCAAGGAGGCAUCUGCUCAAGUUCACCUGGUAAAUCCAAGUCUGCCUGAUAUCACAGCUGUGCUGUUUCCAUGAUUUUUGAUUUGUCCUUCAUUCUCAUGCUUUCUACAGAUGUUGCCCAGGAGGAGUUCCUCAGGACUUCUUUUUCUUGAUAAGGUAAGUUUUUGGAAAAGUAAGAAUGUGUGCAUCAUCUUUAUGACUUAAGAGAUUCCUCUGGGGUAUGUUUACCUAUUACUCUGCAAAUUUUUCUAGAAAAAUGAAUUACCUUAAAGUUACAUGAAAUUAGGAUCAGUUUUUGCCCAUGUAAAAUUUUUUCUUAGUCUUCUCAUUUUUUCCCCUCAUAAUGAUAUCAUAUGUAGGGAUCGGAGCCCGCCUGUGUGAUUUGAGGAAUAGUAGAGGUUGAUCACUUAAUGGAUUGCCAUAAUUCCUGGACAGUUUAAUCAAGGCAUUCUAUAUCUCUGUUAAUGCUGAUGUAUUGCAUUGAAGGUGCAUCUGUGUCAUAGUUAAAUUAAUUUAUUGGGCAGGGUUACCAGCUAAUCAUUGAGAGAAUGGAUUACUAGACAGAUGAGUUUCAAUUAAAUAGAGAUAUGCUAUCAAAAAUGGUAGCCAUGGCCACAUAUGACAGUCAAGCACCUGAAAUAUGGAUAAUUUGAAUUGAGAUGUGCUAUAGUUGUAAAUCACACAUUGGAUCUUUAUAACAACAACACACAAGAAUGUGAAAUAUUUCAUUAAAUGUUUUUGUAUUGAUUACAUGUUGAAAUGACAAAGUUUUGGAUAUGCUAAGUUGAAUAGAGAUAUUAUUAAAAACUGAUUUUACCUGUUUCUUUUUACUUCAACGUGGCUAUUAUAAAAUUUCAAAUUAUGUGUGGUUCACAUUUGGGCUUGCGUUAUGUUUCUAUUGGGCUAUGCUAUACUAAAUAUGGAGAGUGGCCAGCCCUUGAAGAACUGAUGUUUAUGAAGGGGAGCAUGGUAUAACCCAGUAAGGGAGUAGGGAAGCAAAAAAAAACUGUAACAAAGAAGUGUCAGAAAUUUGUCCUUUUUCACAUUUUGCUCCGAGUACAACUUAGUCCAAGAGACAAAAGGUAACUUACCUCGCCCAAGCUACCACUGUUGCAAAUGCAACCUGGUAGUGGGAUAUAUGCCUAUGUAUUUUCCCUCUAGAUCUGCAGUAAUGGUAACUCAGCCACCAGCAGAAUCUAGCUGACACCCAGUUGAUGGUUGACCAGAAAUCCCAUACCUUUCUGCCGGCCGCCAUGGUACCCUGGAGCUGAAAAUGGGUGUUGAGAACACAGUCUCUCAGGAGGCUCUGAGAAGGGCUUGAGUGAAAUGGGUUUGCUGUGAUGUGACAGAUGGGCUCUGAGCGGCUGAGUCAAGACUGGGAAGCUCAGGCCUACCUGAUACUGGUACAUCUGGAUCCGCCCUUGAGGUCAGGCUUAGUGAUGGCCUGGUCGUGAUAGGCCUGCUUGGAAUGGGUUUAAAUAUUGGCUCUGGGGUGCCUGGGUGGCUCAGCUGGUUAAGCGUCUGACUCUUGGUCUUGGCUCAGGUGGUGAUCUCAUGGUUUGUGGGAUCAAGCUCCGCCUUGGACUCUGUGUUGACAGCAUGGAGCCUGCUUGGGAUUCUCUGUUUCCCUUUCUCUCUUCCCCUCCCCCACUUGUGUUCUCCCUCUCUCUCUUUCUCUCAAAAUGAAUAAAUAAACAUUAAAAAAAUAAAUAUUGGUUCCAAUUUCUUGCAUGUUCCCUGUAGUCUUCAGAACUGCCUCUUAGGGUUGAUCUGGAUGGAGUCAGAAAACCCCACAGUGAAUCUAUAUAUACCCUAGUCUCUGCAGUUCGCGAUAUGCUUGGCUGAUUUUCAACAGGGUGCCAGAAGCCUCAUUAUGCUCGGUUCUAUCAGCAAGGUGCCAUGUAUUCUCACAAGUACGAUGUUAGAUUAUUAACAUACAGAUAUUCUCUCCAAGGAGAUAAAAUGUACUGAAAUUUGCUCCUGUAGUAUAAAGAUGAGCCAACUGUUAUUUGUACCAACCUAUGACAAAUUUUUAAAAAAUUUUAGAUGGGCUUCUCAGUCUCCAACUUUUUUGUUUCAGUUGGGUAAAGCAAGGACCAUCUUACCAGCACAGUAUAAAUUUACUUGCUACUAGUUUCAGUUAUCUAUUGCUGUGUAACAAAGUACCCCCCAAAGCAUAGUGGCUUAAAACAAUAGCCAUUUCAUUUCUUAGGAUUCUGUGCACCAGGAAUUUUGUGAGGUCAUGGCAAGAACAGCUUGUCUCCAUUCCUUGAUCAGUUGAGAUGGGUCAAAAGGGGCUGGCCAGGAUGUCUUGACUACAGCCAUAUGACUGGAGCCACAGUUCUUGCUUUCAGCUGGAUUUAAUGGUUUUCUUCAACACGGUCUCUCCAUGUGACUAGCUCAGACUUCCUUACAGUAUGGUGGUCUCAAAGCAGUUGAACUUAUUACAUAAGUGGCUGGCUUAACCCAAGCAAAAACGGAAGUUAUCAGGCCUCUUGAUGUUUAUUCCCCUAUAAAGAGAGAAAUGAUCCUUGACAUUCGGGAGCUGACCAGGCACUAUCAGCUAAACCUAGGUGUUGCUAGGAGCUGUCCUGCACCACCUGGUGGACUGUGCUUUUUUUUUUUUUUUUUCCCCAUUAAAUAUAAACAUUUUCACUGAAGACUGAGAUCAAUCAAAGUCAUUCUGUACCCCGAUGGAGCAAGACAAAGAAAAAAGUCCACUCCGUAGUCAUGUCGAAAGGCAGACAAAAACAAGAACACUGUGGCUUAUAUGAGCAACUGCUGCUUCUUUACUAAUUACAACAUAAACUUUAUUCCAUUCUUUCUGCCUUCUAGAUAAAAAUGAUGAAGAUACCCAGUCAUAUAAUUACCCCUGCUUCCUGACAGCAUCCAUUCCAGGGCGAAGUCCCACUUCCUGGAACCUAAAAACUACCUUUUCAGGGGAAAGUACCAGUGACAGCUAUUCUGAGGUAAUCUAUCACAUUCCAACAAACAAACAAACACACACAAAAAAUUAGAAGUACUGUGUCCAAAGAUAUUGUUAGAUAUAAGUUUGAAAUGAAUGCCAGAAUUCCCAUUAGUAUAAAGAAAACUGCCUAAAAAAAGUCAGAGAAUAUUAGAAGUAUUACCUAACAUUCCACUAUGAGUAAAAAAAUAUUUGAUGAUACAAUCACAGUUCUGAGGCAAGACUACAUGCACAAAUGUUACAAUGAUCUCAGGAAUGGGGAAGAAAUGAUGACUAGACUAUAUACAAGAGUUAGUAGAAUUCAAGUAUGAAAGAGAACACAGGCAAAACCACUUUAGGAACAAAGAAUAAACUACAAGAAGCACAAGGUAUGACAAAUAUAGAAAGUGUAGCAUGGACAAAGAAUACAGAAAUUAGUGAAUGGAACAAAAUGAANAAGGCAGACAAAAACAAGAACACUGUGGCUUAUAUGAGCAACUGCUGCUUCUUUACUAAUUACAACAUAAACUUUAUUCCAUUCUUUCUGCCUUCUAGAUAAAAAUGAUGAAGAUACCCAGUCAUAUAAUUACCCCUGCUUCCUGACAGCAUCCAUUCCAGGGCGAAGUCCCACUUCCUGGAACUCUGUUUAAAAUCACCUACCACAGACCCAGUCUCUACAAUAAGGCCAUUCUAACACCCUCUUGUUGAGACACUCCAUGGCACCCCCUGGUGUGCAUUCUCUCUCAUUGCAGCCAGUCAAAAAACCCAAUUUCAUUGGACGGCAGGUUUUACUCCUCCUGGUAGUCUUUGGCUAGCACUCCCAUCGGGUACAAUGUCCCUUCCAUUGCAUUAUAUUGGUUAAGGCAAGUCACAAAGCCGCCUCAAUUCAAGGAGAAGGGAAACAGACUCCUCCUUCUUGUGGGUGGAGCAACGGGGCAUACAAGGGACUGUGUGGCCAUCUUUGGCAACAGAACUGUAGCACAUUCAUUCAUACUUUACAGAGAGCAGCUGAAUCUUGAAAAAUGUAUGUGGGACACUGGCAUUGCCACCUGCUUGAGCCAUAUUCGGUGACGAGGACUUGUUCAGCUAAUAGAAGGAUUCAGCCUCUCUUUACACUUUCAAAAUAUGACCUUCCUUCAGUGUUUUUGUUUUUGAAAUAAGGGACGCUGCCUCCCAUCUUUUCCUUCAUCCAACAUGUUCCGCCCCCCAUUGACCUUCGACAGCAACUUCUUGUUCUGGGGCAACUGUUGCCCUGCUGGUCACCUUCUGGAACCCUGGGACAAACGCCUUCGCUGGUUGUGUUGCUGUUAUCCCCACUGUGCCUUGGAGAAUUGGUGGGACCAAGGCUGCUUUCCUACCACAGCUCCGUCUGUCCCUCCCAGGCACCACCAGCUACAAGGUUGGUGUAUGAAAGAGACUUCAGCAAUGGUGACGUGUAGCACAGAGGGAAGGCUGUCAGCAGUGUGUGGCAGCUCGGCAUCCAUGUGGCCCUGGGGAGGGUCAUCAUCAUUCACCUCUCUCUCCUGCCCUCCUCCCCCAGUGGGAGAAUGGACGCUUUCCGAUAAUUUCCCUUGUUGCCCCCUUUAGUCUACGUACAUACAGCAAUCAUACAUCAUGAAUCACCCCAGGGUGAACUAUGAUAAUCUGCUUGUGUAAGACUAUGGGUGUUUUUCUCUUCUUUUUGCUCAUCUGUAUUUUUCUACAAUACAAUAUUGUUUUUGUAAUAUGACAAAAAAAAAAAACAAAAACAAACCAAACAAAACCAAGUCUCUUUUUAAUUACAAACAAAAGAAGGGGAUCUAAACAGAGAACCCUAAUGAUUCAGGUGUUUGGAAAGACUUUCCCCAGGAGUCUGAAAUUUCUCAUUACUUUGUGUUUAACCUUGCCAGUGAGUGUUUAGAAUGUAGUAUGGAAGGAGACAGUGCAUUUUUUAAUGUAAAUGCUUAAUGACUUUUUCAAUACUUUUUGGACACGUGGUCAGAGAGCAAGUCCUAAUAAAGACAUGAGGUGUUGCCCGACUUAGUAAUCAAUGUAGUUAGUGAGCAACUUGAGGAAGAAAAGAGGUGACUGUGUUGGCUGCCAGCAAUGGCAGAGAUAAUACUCUGGAGACUCAGAAAACGGCAUCGUAGGAGUUGUCUGUGGAGGCAAGAUAAAAAUGAGGUCAUCUUAUAAUAAGAUCCUGCAGAGACUUCACCGUGGACAGAGUUCUAUAAAGCCCCAACUCAAAACAAAUUCUCCUGGAGACGAGAGAUGUCCUGUUUCUACUGCUGAAUGCCUUUUCCUGGCACAUGGUCACUGAACUUCAGGGUGAUGAAAUGAGAACACAGGAGCGAUUAGUACACAUUCUGUCGGCACAAUAAAAAGGGGCAUCAUGACAGUUUCCUCUCAAGUACCUUGCUUUUUACUCACUUUGUCACUCAUUUGCUUUUUCACUCGCAGGUAAUGAGGUGGAAUGAAGGGGGUAAAGGCUAAGGAUGGAGGUUUCCUAGUUUAGGAACUCACAUAGGCACCUACCGCGUGCCUCGUCCUGGGCUAUACGCUUUCCCACUGCUGGGAAAGACUUACGACAGCAGUAAUAACAACAACCAUUUUUGAUGCCUGUUGCGUGCCAAUGUUGUGCUGUGUCCAUUAGGAUAUUCAGGCCUUAAAACAACUCUGGGAGGUUCAGGCCAGUCCUAUUACCUCUUCUUUUCUAGAGACAGUGACUGACACUCAGGAAGUAAUUUACCCAAGGCCGCAUAGCUAAUAUGAACCCAUUCUAGGACAUUAAACACAGCAUUAGGGUCUCUUUAUCCUCAGUCUUGGGGUAUUUCCAUUAACUUCAUUGUGGUAUCUCCUUGACUUUGAUUAUUAAACGUGCUUUGUUGUUGUUGUUGUUUUUGUUUUGCUCUGAGCAAGUGAUAUUUGCUGUUUUCAUUUUGAUUUUCUACUUGGGAGCCAAUCUUUUCCUGGUGCAAAUGUGGUAAACAGAUGACAAUGAUUACAACAAAAUCCUCCUAUAAUGCUCUUAAGUUUUCCCUCAUCCUACACUGAUCUAUUAAAUAUCUAGCCUCAUGCAAACCUAGGCAGUGAUUCUCUCUCAUAGUGUUUUACUACUUAUUGAAUUUUCUCUUCUUGAUCCUUGGGGCCCAUGUUGUAAAGGAGCAUCCACAGCAAUCCGUUAGUGGGAACAAAACCCCUGAAGGUAUGAAGGGCCACGCCAUUUGGUAUUGGCCUGACAUUUUUUUUUUUUUCCCCUGGAAUUCUCUUCCAUGAAUGAUGCAGUUUGAAACAAAUUCCCUCAUAGUGAGAUAUCUAGGGAAGCUCAGAGGAGAGCAAAAAAAUGAUGAAAUGUUUUCAAAAUAAGACCCUGGAGGAAGAGGUAAGAAACCAAACAUGUUCAGCCUUGUGUCAAGAAGACGUAGGGGAGAAAUAACUAUAAACAUGCAUGCUGAUGUAGCGGACAAAGUAAAAGGCAAUUUGCCUCGUUACAAAGGAGGGCAAAAGAACUAGGAAGGGGGCUAAGUUAUGGUAAGGAAAUUUUAGUUUGAAAUAUGAUAUUCACGCAUACUGAGGUAGCUUACUGAAGAUUCUAUUUCUACCCAUUAUCACCAUUGGCGGUUUCCAAUGUAUUCACCCCAUGUACGCACACUUUUGUAUCAGGUUGACUGUGGCAGCACAUAAUGACUGGCGGUGGGAUGCAGGGAAGGGGAUUCUUGUGUAAAUGGACAACUAUGGUCUUGUCUUGUACCCAGCUUGAACAACUGAGCACGGGUCAAUGUUUGACUGGUUUGUAACUCCUAUUUUAUGGCUAUAGGGCCAUUUUCAUCUAUUUGGAAAUUUAUUGUGCUUCUGGCAUCAUCAUCAUCAUCAUGAUCAUAAUCAUAAACAUUUACUGAACGCUUCUGAAAGUCAGGCGUUGUGCCAAUGAGUGCCUCCCAUGCAUUUAUUCAUUUGCUUCUCACGAUAAACCUGCGAGGUAGGAGUUAUUGUUACUCGACACACCCCUGGCACUGGUUUCCUCACCUGAGAAGUGUGUUUCAUAGUCAUGGUGCAGCUGAGGGCAUGAGGAGUACAGUAAAGCCUUGGAUUGUGAGUAACUUGCUCCGCGAGCAUGCCAAAGACGAGCAAACCUUUCUAACACAUUUUCACUUGAUAAAUGAGUGAUGUCUUGCAGUACGAGUAGUACGUGACGCAGGAUGUCCCGUGAUCACCACUGAGCCAAUGGUUCUUGAAAUUCUCUUUGAUACACGAGUGCUUUGGAUGACAAACAUGUUUCUGGAAUGAAUUAUGCUCGCAAACCAAGAUUUUACUGCAUUUAGCAAAUAAAAGCCAGGUGUGCUACGAAUCUUGCAAUGCGUGGGGCGGUUUCUUGAAGUUGGCCAGCUCAGAAUGCCGACAGAAUAGCUCUACAGACCAUGUGAGCUCUAAAGAAGUCCCCAAGUUCCUGAGAAGCCUCUCAGCGCAGCUUUUUUUUUUUUUUAAUUUUUUUUUCAACGUUUAUUUAUUUUUGGGACAGAGAGAGACAGAGCAUGAACGGGGGAGGGGCAGAGAGAGAGGGAAACACAGAAUCGGAAGCAGGCUCCAGGCUCUGAGCCAUCAGCCCAGAGCCUGACGCGGGGCUCGAACUCGCGGAGCGCGAGAUCGUGACCUGGCUGAAGUCGGACACUUAACCGACUGCGCCACCCAGGCGCCCCUCAGCGCAGCUUUAAGGGGGCGUGGGCUCUUUCCUUAUGAUGGGGCAUUCGGACUCUUAUACCAAUGGCAAUAACUAAAGUGUACAAGCAGUAGAGGGUGAUUAUUGAAGCUUAAGGGGUCUGGGUUUUAUCUAUGGUGUCCAGUGAUUCUUGGUCCCGACAGACCUCAAGAAUCUUCCGGAAAGCUUUGAAAUAUACAGAUUCCUUGGGCACCAGCCCUGGAGAUUCUGACUCAGUAGGUCUGAGGUGGAUAGAUAGCCCAGGAACCUUUUUGUUGUCGCUAUUCUACGAGGGAUUCUAAUGAUCAGCCACUGGCCCCACUGCCCUGCUUCAGUCCAUCCCCUUGCACAUGGGGCUGUGAGUGCUCGGGGUUGCAGAGCUGGGCUUAGCACCCAGGUGUCCUGCUUCCUUCUCUCCCACUGCAAGACUCUGCUCCUUGCUUGCUGCUGCUGCUUUGCGUUGGGCCUUCCUAAGGGAAGAAAAAGAGAAAGCGAGAAAAGGACAUCCUGCAUUUCUAAGAUACACCAAUGGUUGCGUGUAAUUCCCCCUCUCCCCAUGGCCUCCACUGGGGGUUGACUGUGCCUUUAGAUUGCAGGCCGUUGUGUUUUAUGAUGAUUAGUGCAGGUCCAAGAUUGAUCAUGAGCACAGGUGGGAGUUUGCACCCACCCAGAUAAUUAGGGAAGCUCUCUAAAUAAAAGCUGUAGCUCGAAUACUUAAUUACUAGGUGGGCUUGUGACUGUCAGGGAGUAAAGAGUUUACUUUUUAAGGGGUUGAGAUGAUGUCAGGAAGAAGAGUCAAAGGAGCCCUUUCAGCCGGGAAGUCAAACUGAUGUCCCAGGAAGUCAAACUGAUGUCCCAUUGGGAGAAGCCCAGAAGAAGUUGUUUUAAUUUUACCCAGCACCUUCUCAGCUCCAGAGUGGCUGAGGGAGGGGCCCUGGUUGUAUGAGUCUGUUUGUAUAGAGGUGUGUUUGUGUGUGACAACUUGGGGGAAGAGUUCACCUCAUUUUAGAAAUAAGGAAACAGAAACCCAGCAAGAGGUUAGACAACCCGCUUGGGUCCAGGGGCAGCGCUGGGAUUUGAACCACAGCUGUCUGACCGCCACGCCUGAACUCAGACCUGCCGCGCUCCCUGGCCACACACAGGGAAGGUUGUGUUGAGCCAGGGCAGCCAGAAAGAGCCCAUCCAGGGGUCAGAACCCUCAUGCUAACCUGAAGGUCGUUUUCCCAGCCCCAGGCUUAGAACUCCAUUUUCCGUUUUCAUUCUCCUGGCUUAAAUUCUGGCCUACCUCUGUCUGCUUCCGGAAUUGUACCCACCUGCUCACCCUCCCCACGUCCCAUACCCAGCUUAGCAGGGGUUAUGGUGCUCACCCCAGCAUGCGCGUGGGACCGGUACCUUAUCUGCAGCUUCUAGUCUGGCUUCAGCAGGGCAAGUGGGAACUGCCGCCCAGGGUUUCCGCGCCUCCAGAUUUGCCUUCUCUUGUACGUGCACCUGUUCCGGAGCGGCGCUCUCGGAGGGGAUGGCGUGUGGGUGGGAGACAUGACCGAACGGACAGAUGUUUGCCUCUGAGUCCCGAAGACCUUGGGCCUAAGGGAAACCAGUAGCAAAGUGAGAUGCCCAGCUUCCCAGUUCCGAGCCUGGGCUGAGGGGAGAUGGAGGGAAAGGAAGGGCCGAGUUGGCAGCUGGGGCCGGGGGUGGCUUACGUAAACCCCAGUUAGGUUUGGAGGAGUUACGAUAGAGUCAAGUCCUCUAGUGCGGGGUCCACAUUUCCAGCAGAGACUCAGGAGGUGUCAGUCCCCAGGACAGAGGUGACUGUGCUGGAUGUCCACGAGGCGGACUGAUCCCACCAAGCCCAGCAUGGCAGAGCACCCGCAGGGUCAUCCUCCCUCACCGAAGAGUAAGGUGUCAGAGGCAGAGGGUCCUAGCCUCACAAAGGUCCCCAGAUGCCAGCGUGACGUCAGAGCAUCACGCUUCCGGGAGAAGGCAGGGGACAUGGGAGAUAGCGGGACCCAAACAGCCCUCGAAAUCAGGAACAAGGGCUGAUGCUGCAUUGAGCAGUGCAGACUGAGGACAGGUGUAGACCGAGGACGGGUGUAGACUGAGGAUAGGAGCCUAGUUGGAGACGGGGGCGGGGGGGGGGGGCAUGUCCUGACACCGGUGUGGGCAGGGCAUGAAUGAGGUCCAGCCAGCCUCUUGUAGAAUUUGCAACAAUACCCUGGCCCUGCAUAACCCCCCCUGAAACAUAGCCACAACGCUGGGGGGACGAAGGGAAGGGAAAUCCGGAUCACGGGUUGAAUGAGAUUUCCUGCUAAAGCAAUUAAGAGGAUUCAAAAAAGUUACGGUUAUGCUUUUUUUUUUUUCCCCCCCAAACACGAGAUUCUGAAGGGACAAGCCUUGCACUUUCAUUGUUCUCGGGCUUUCUGCAGCCCAUGGAGCCCUUCUUUGACUUCUGGGGCUGGGGAAGCAGAGACGGGUUCUCUGGAUUCACAUUCAUCACCUUCUUCUCCUCCGGCUGCUUUGAGUGCUUCCCUGCCCCCAGGCAGAUUGCCGCCUCUGACAGCCCAACUUCCUCCUUUUGUGAGCCCCUAGGAUUUAAUCUCUGCGGGUUUAGCGUUAGUUUUGUCACUCCGAUUUAUCUGGUGGGAUCACAGCCUGCUGCUGCUCCCUGAAAGGUACACAAGCUACGGUCUAUUAGGAGACGGAGGAGAGAGCAGUGACUUGACUGCUUCCGUCUGUACAGCCGAGCAGCUUAGCAUUUGACUGAUAGGUGUGUGAAUAAGAAAAUACCGUGGCUGGAUCCCCAUGCUUCUGAGGAGUCCGAUGACACACAAGAUGCUGUGCUGUCAGUUGUAUAAGUUCAGUUAAAUUAAUUGGUAUCAAUUCAAUUUUUAAUUAACUAAUUAAUGAUUCAAAUCUGUGGAGGACCCAUCGUGUGCUGGGUUCUGUAACGCUAAUGCCCUAGAAUCAUCCAUCUAUCUAUCUAUCUAUCUAUCUAUCUAUCUAUCUAUAUUCUAUCAGAGGAAGUUUCUGGAAGCAGCGCUCCAGAUCGGCUUUGUAUUUAGAUUCUGACUUGUGCCUAUUUGUCUCCAAUUCAACCAUAUGAAUCUGCAAUAUAGGAAUCUAGUAGUUUUCUUCCCCUGGUAGCUUUCAAGCCCGCCUUUAAAAUGUAUUAACAAUUGCUAUUGUUUGUUAACACUAAUCUGUGCAUAUUCUGAAUGUGGCACUUCCCUUAUAUUAUUUCAUAUACACCUCCUAAAAAACUGGUAAGGAGGAAUGAUCAUUUCAGGAAUACCCAGUAAGAAAGUGAUUCUCAGAGAGGUUACUGUGCCCAAGGUGGCACAGGACGUAAGUGACAGCCAGGACUUGAACUUUGGCCUGCUUUACUCCGUGUCCUAAGCUGUACUGAAAUGUACUGAGUCCUUACUCUGUGUCUGGCACUGUACCAAGAGAUCCGACUCCCAUAAUCUCCUUGCUCCUCAGAACAGCCCUAUGAGGUGGCUCCCAUUUUACAGAUGGAGGAACUGAGGCUCAGAGGUGAUAACUUGCCCGUUGCUGGACAGUAGUAGACUUUGAAACUUGUUCUUUCUGAUUUCAGUACCACCUAUGUUAUAUCUACAAGUGUACAUGUAAUUAAUUAUAUCCAAGUGGAAGGGAAAGAAAUUAACAUUUAUUGAAUGUCUUUUUUUGUACGAGGGCAUAUAUUACUUUUUUCUAAAACAGCUCUAGUAGGUGGAAAUUAUCUCCACUUACUGAUAGAGCAGGCUCUCUGGGCAGGUGGAUUUUUAACUCACUGUCAUAGAGCAAGUUAAGUGUGAACUUGAUACUUUAUCUGGUCUAUUUUUUCCCAUAACAUCAUUUUGCUUCCCAAAGAAAUAAAAACCCACUUAUAAAAAAUCAUUUUAUGCAUUAAUUAGUUUUAAUUCCUGAAGGACUAGCAAAGAGAAACAUGUAUGACUAGCACUAGGGGUCAAUUCACUUAACUCAUUGAACUCAUUGAAUGGUUGGUGCUUCCCACUGUUUCUUUUUUUUUUUUUUUUUAUUUAACAUUUAUUUAUUUUUGAGAGACAGAGCAUGAAAAGGGGAGGGCUAGAGAGAGAGGGAGAUACAGAAUCCGAAGCAGGCUCCAGGCUGAGCUGUCAGCACUGCUUGAACCCACAAACAUCGAGAUAAUGACCUGAGCUGACCCACCCAGGGUCAGCUUAACUGACUGACCCACCCAGGCACCCCUCCCCACUGUGUUUCUAAGCAUCUUUUAAUUCACAAACAUGAGUGAGUUGUGACACUUGUAAUUCUUGUUAGGUUUACUUAAAUAAGUGAGCAUCUUUUCGUGUGUCUGUUCGCCAUCUGGAGGUCUUCUUUGGAAAAGUGUCUAUUCAUGUCUUCUGCCCAUUUCUUAACUGGUUUGUUUGUUUUUUAGGUGUUGAGUUUGAUAAGUUCUUUCUUUAUAGAUUUUGGAUACUAACCCUUUAUUAGAGAUGUUGUUUGCAAAUUCUCCCAUUCCAUAAGCUGCCUUUUAGCUUUGUUGACUUUUUUCCUUUGCUUUGCAGAUGUUUACCUUGAUGAAGUC
rnacentral:lncRNA from 1 species